rnacentral:rRNA from 1 species
CAGCAGUAGCCACGGUAAUACGGAGGGUGCAAGCGUUAAUCGGAAUUACUGGGCGUAAAGCGUGCGUAGGCGGUUCGUUAAGUCUGUUGUGAAAGCCCCGGGCUCAACCUGGGAAUGGCAAUGGAUACUGGCGAGCUAGAGUGUGUCAGAGGAUGGUGGAAUUCCCGGUGUAGCGGUGAAAUGCGUAGAGAUCGGGAGGAACAUCAGUGGCGAAGGCGGCCAUCUGGGACAACACUGACGCUGAGGCACGAAAGCGUGGGGAGCAAACAGGACUAGAUACCCCCGUAGUCCCUGUCUCUUAUAC